GACGAACGCUGGCGGCGUGCCUAACACAUGCAAGUCGAACGGAAAGGCCCUGCUUUUGUGGGGUGCUCGAGUGGCGAACGGGUGAGUAACACGUGAGUAACCUGCCCUUGACUUUGGGAUGACUUCAGGAAACUGGGGCUAAUACCGGAUAGGAGCUCCUGCUGCAUGGUGGGGGUUGGAAAGUUUCGGCGGUUGGGGAUGGACUCGCGGCUUAUCAGCUUGUUGGUGGGGUAGUGGCUUACCAAGGCUUUGACGGGUAGCCGGCCUGAGAGGGUGACCGGCCACAUUGGGACUGAGAUACGGCCCAGACUCCUACGGGAGGCAGCAGUGGGGAAUAUUGCACAAUGGGCGGAAGUCUGAUGCAGCAACGCCGCGUGCGGGAUGACGGCCUUCGGGUUGUAAACCGCUUUCGCCUGUGACGAAGCGUGAGUGACGGUAAUGGGUAAAGAAGCACCGGCUAACUACGUGCCAGCAGCCGCGGUGAUACGUAGGGUGCGAGCGUUGUCCGGAAUUAUUGGGCGUAAAGGGCUCGUAGGUGGUUGAUCGCGUCGGAAGUGUAAUCUUGGGGCUUAUUCCUGAGCGUGCUUUCGAUACGGGUUGACUUGAGGAGGGUAGGGGAGAAUGGAAUUCCUGGUGGAGCGGUGGAAUGCGCAGAUAUCAGGAGGAACACCAGUGGCGAAGGCGGUUCUCUGGGCCUUUCCUGACGCUGAGGAGCGAAAGCGUGGGGAGCGAACAGGCUUAGAUACCCUGGUAGUCCACGCUGUAAACGGUGGGUACUAGGUGUGGGGUCCAUUCCACGGGUUCCGUGCCGUAGCUAACGCUUUAAGUACCCCGCCUGGGGAGUACGGCCGCAAGGCUAAAACUCAAAGGAAUUGACGGGGCCCCGCACAAGCGGCGGAGCAUGCGGAUUAAUUCGAUGCAACGCGUAGAACCUUACCUGGGUUUGACAUGGAUCGGGAGCGCUCAGAGAUGGGUGUGCCUCUUUUGGGGUCGGUUCACAGGUGGUGCAUGGCUGUCGUCAGCUCGUGUCGUGAGAUGUUGGGUUAAGUCCCGCAACGAGCGCAACCCUUGUUCACUGUUGCCAGCACGUUAUGGUGGGGACUCAGUGGAGACCGCCGGGGUCAACUCGGAGGAAGGUGGGGAUGACGUCAAGUCAUCAUGCCCCUUAUGUCCAGGGCUUCACGCAUGCUACAAUGGCUGGUACAGAGAGUGGCGAGCCUGUGAGGGUGAGCGAAUCUCGGAAAGCCGGUCUCAGUUCGGAUUGGGGUCUGCAACUCGACCUCAUGAAGUCGGAGUCGCUAGUAAUCGCAGAUCAGCAACGCUGCGGUGAAUACGUUCCCGGGGCU
rnacentral:rRNA from 1 species